AGAGUUAGAUUUUUAUUAAAAUGUUAUGACUUUAAUUUUUCCACUAAAACCUGAGCAUUAAAUUCAGCAAAAAAAAGCACACUAACAAGUAUGUGAAAGAUUAUAUGUAUAAUGUUGGUUAAAACCCUGGCUGAGAAGGUAACAAAAGCUUAAACUUACUAGAAGAUAGCAAAAUUUCCUUAUCACAAACCAGGCAAGUUACUAGCAGGUGAGGAGGAGCAUGAUGUCACUGGCAGGUAUGUAGAUGAUGCUGAUGUCACUAGCAGGUGAGGAGGAGCAUGAUGUCACUAGCAGGUGAGGAGGAGCAUGAUGUCACUGGCAGGUGUGUAGAUGAUGCUGAUGUCACUAGCAGGUGAGGAGGAGCAUGAUGUCACUAGCAGGUGUGUAGAUGAUGCUGAUGUCACUAGCAGGUGUGUAGAUGAUGCUGAUGUCACUAGCAGGUGUGUAGAUGAUGCUGAUGUCACUAGCAGGUGAG